GACGAACGCUGGCGGCGUGCUUAACACAUGCAAGUCGAACGGUGAAGCGCCUUCCUUUUUGGUGGGUGUGGAUGAGUGGCGAACGGGUGAGUAACACGUGAGUAACCUGCCCCCUUCUUCUGGAUAACCGCAUGAAAGUGUGGCUAAUACGGGAUAUUCUGGGUCUGUCGCAUGAUGGGUCUGGGAAAGAUAUUGUUUCGGUGGGGGAUGGGCUCGCGGCCUAUCAGCUUGUUGGUGGGGUGAUGGCCUACCAAGGCGGUGACGGGUAGCCGGCCUGAGAGGGUGGACGGUCACACUGGGACUGAGACACGGCCCAGACUCCGACGGGAGGCAGCAGGGGGGAAUAUUGCACGAUGGGCGCAAGCCUGAUGCAGCGACGCCGCGUGAGGGAUGGAGGCCUGCGGGUUGUGAACCUCUUUCGCCAGUGAAGCAGGCCUGCCUCGUUUGUGGGUGGGUUGACGGUAGCUGGAUAAGAAGCGCCGGCUAACUACGUG
rnacentral:rRNA from 1 species